AUUGAAGACUUUGAGGACAUCAAGGCUGACGUUCUCCAAGCUCUUGAAACCAUCUGAACAUGUUGGCUUUAUUUUUAUAAAACCAAGUUGCUUCCCGUUUCUUCUCUUUUAUUGUGACAAAAGUUCUUUGAAAUAAAUAAUUUACAUAAUAAUAACAAUCUCAAUAAAUGUCUUUUGCAACUGUAAAUCACAAUCCUUAAGUAAAUAUAAUUUUUUGUUACAACAUAUAUCUUACAAUUGGAUUUUUCUUAGAAAGAUGCAAUCCGUAUAAAUAUUUUUUACGAUUAUGUAACUCUUCAUAAACAGUUGUAAAUAUUAAGUUGAACCAUUGAAACUUUUAAUAUAUUUUAUGAUCCUUGUAACUUUUAAUUAUCUACAGUUUUAUGAUGCUUUUAUAUAUGUGUGAUCCUAACAUACACGUAGACAAAUUUUGUUUUAUUUUAUUUAGUUCAGAUGAUGGUAACGUAAAUGUAUAAAGACAAACAACAAGCAUUAGUCGUCUAGUGGUUGUAUUGUAGCCUGCCACUUGACAGUCCAGGGUUCGAUUCCCGGAUGGUGCACAUGAGCUGUGAUGAAAUUGGCUUCAGCGUUGGUUGGGUCCUUCGCAUUAUUCUGAUUACUCAGAUAAAAUUGCCACACUUCUGAGCUCAAUUUUUCUUUUAAAGAAUUUAUUUUCUUUCAAAUUUCUUAUAAAAUAUCUAAAUCCCAUAAAAACUUGUCAAAUUCAAUAAAUAUUCGCUGAAACCAUGUGCGAAUGUUGCACACAUAGUUACCGUAAUUCAGGAUCUUUAUAAAGGCAGUAAUCAUAUAUAUGAAAAUUGGCCAACUCUCUCUAUAUGAGUGACAAAUCAUCACACUAGUGAGUGCCACAUGUCAUUCUAAAUUAAUAUCAUUAAAAAAAUAACUAAACUUAGUGAUAAAAAUUUAAAAGUUUCACAGUGCAUUAAAUCAUCCAUUAAUCUCACUCUUAACAAAAUAUCUUCAUUUAAAAGAAAAAAUACAAAAAAUCAUGUUAAUGUAUCAAACUAUUUUCAUUUUACUUUUCUUAUUUUGCUAUUUUUAUAAUAGUCAUUACUCGAUAAUGACUAGAAAUUUUCGUGUAUUACAAUUUAAUUAUUUGCUAUUUAACCUUUUUUAGUUUAGUAAUUUUAACUUAGCCUUUUUUUUUAUUAUAUUUUUUGGUUUACAUGAUAUGGUAUUUUUGUUUGUUUAUGAUAAAUUAGUAACAUUAAUAAUGACAUGCAUAUUUUAUGGGAUGCAUUUUAUACUAGAUGCAAAAUGAUACUAUUGUACCCAAUGUAAAUAGAUAAAUGAAUUUUGAGAUGCAAUAAAAGUUUGUUAUCGCCAAAAAAAAAAUUUCGUUAUUCAUAAAAAAAAACAUUUCCAAUAAAAUCGACAAGUAGCAUCGGUAACCCAAAACAAAAGAAAAAC
rnacentral:sRNA from 1 species